rnacentral:lncRNA from 1 species
GGAGAAAUGGCAGCACACGUUGGUUGUUGCCCUGGAUGCCCAAAAUAUUGUAGCUGUUUCAUGUGGAGAAGCUCAUACGUUAGCGCUAAAUGACAAAGGCCAGGUGUAUGCUUGGGGUCUCGAUUCUGAUGGACAGCUUGGCCUGGUAGGAUCAGAGGAAUGCAUCAGAGUACCCAGAAAUAUUAAAAGUUUGUCAGAUAUCCAGAUUGUACAGGUUGCUUGUGGUUACUAUCAUUCACUUGCACUUUCUAAAGCAAGUGAAGUCUUCUGUUGGGGACAGAAUAAAUAUGGCCAAUUGGGUUUAGGUACUGACUGUAAAAAGCAAACUUCACCGCAGCUGCUUAAGUCUUUGCUUGGAAUCCCUUUCAUGCAAGUUGCAGCAGGAGGAGCCCAUAGUUUUGUACUCACCCUUUCUGGAGCUAUCUUUGGAUGGGGACGCAACAAGUUUGGUCAGCUAGGUCUUAAUGAUGAAAAUGAUAGGUAUGUUCCUAAUUUACUAAAGUCACUAAGAUCUCAGAAAAUAGUUUAUAUUUGUUGUGGAGAAGAUCAUACUGCUGCUCUAACCAAGGAAGGUGGAGUGUUUACUUUUGGAGCUGGAGGGUAUGGUCAGUUGGGCCAUAAUUCUACCAGUCAUGAAAUAAACCCAAGGAAAGUUUUUGAACUUAUGGGAAGCAUUGUCACUCAGAUUGCUUGUGGACGGCAGCACACUUCUGCUUUUGUUCCUUCAUCAGGACGAAUUUACUCUUUUGGGCUUGGUGGUAAUGGGCAGCUGGGAACCGGUUCAACAAGCAACAGGAAAAGUCCCUUUACUGUAAAAGGAAAUUGGUACCCUUAUAAUGGGCAGUGUCUACCAGAUAUUGAUUAUGAAGAAUAUUUCUGUGUAAAAAGAAUUUUCUCAGGGGGAGAUCAAAGCUUUUCACAUUACUCUAGUCCCCAGAACUGUGGGCCACCAGAUGACUUCAGAUGUCCUGAUCCGACAAAGCAGAUCUGGACAGUGAAUGAAGCUCUAAUUCAGAAAUGGCUGAGCUAUCCUUCUGGAAGGUUUCCUGUGGAGAUAGCCAAUGAGAUAGAUGGAACGUUUUCUUCCUCUGGUUGCCUAAAUGGAAGUUUUUUAGCUGUUAGCAAUGAUGAUCACUAUAGAACAGGUACCAGAUUUUCAGGGGUUGAUAUGAAUGCUGCUAGGCUUUUAUUCCACAAACUUAUACAACCUGAUCAUCCGCAGAUAUCUCAGCAGCUCUUGUGAACCUAGAAAAGGCACCACUGAAAGUACUUGAAAACUGGUGGUCAGUACUUGAACCUCCACUAUUCCUCAAGAUAGUAGAACUUUUUAAGGAAGUUGUGGUACAUCUUUUGAAACUCUACAAGAUCGGUAUUCCCCCUUCUGAAAGAAGAAUUUUCAACAGUUUUCU